CCGGCGCACGGGUGAGUAACGCGUACCCAACCUGCCGUCUACUCUUGGCCAGCCUUCUGAAAGGAAGAUUAAUCCAGGAUGGCAUCAUGAGUUCACAUGUCCGCAUGAUUAAAGGUAUUUUCCGGUAGACGAUGGGGAUGCGUUCCAUUAGAUAGUAGGCGGGGUAACGGCCCACCUAGUCAACGAUGGAUAGGGGUUCUGAGAGGAAGGUCCCCCACAUUGGAACUGAGACACGGUCCAA
rnacentral:rRNA from 1 species